GAAGAAGCACCGGCUAACUCCGUGCCAGCAGCCGCGGUAAUACGGAGGGUGCAAGCGUUAAUCGGAAUUACUGGGCGUAAAGCGCACGCAGGCGGUCUGUCAAGUCGGAUGUGAAAUCCCCGGGCUCAACCUGGGAACUGCAUUCGAAACUGGCAGGCUUGAGUCUUGUAGAGGGGGGUAGAAUUCCAGGUGUAGCGGUGAAAUGCGUAGAGAUCUGGAGGAAUACCGGUGGCGAAGGCGGCCCCCUGGACAAAGACUGACGCUC
rnacentral:rRNA from 1 species